UUGCAUAUGUUUACAGAAUGCUAGAGAGGAGAACGGAUCCACCAUGUGCGUGCACUGCCGCUGGCUGGGCUUAGGCAUUAGACCAACUCCAUCGGUCGGUUGAGGAAGGGGUUCUAAACCCAAAAAAUGAAAAAAAUAAAUCAAAAAUGGUUUUAUUAGAAAGAACCGCUGCCAAACUAAGAGAGUUUAGAGUUGGGUAAAACCCCAUACGUAGCAGGAGCGUAUUGGGCGAUGCAUUUUACGGGAAAUAAAUGUCGUCUCUUUCUCUUUCUCUUUCUCUUUCUCUUUCUCUUUCUCUUUCAGUUCAUCUCGACAUCUCUUCGCCUUCGCUUUUUCAAAAAUCUCCGAGGGAGACGAUCUUUCAUCUGUUUGUUCGUCGAUGAUCAUGACUCUCUCUUGUUCGAUUUCCUCGAAAUCACAUCCUCGGGUCUCUCUCUUCCUCGUUGAUUCCGUCGAAACCUCGAAUGGAGAUGUCGUUUGAUUCGUUUUUUUCUUCGUCGAUGUUCUCCCCCAGACUCGUGCAUGCAAUCACCAUGAAAAUCGAUAGGGGAGUUGUGGUUUUAGCAGCGACGAAGGGACUAUGGAGACGAUGAUGAACAGAGGCUCAUGUUUUUUGCUUGUCGAAUCCGAUGACUCAACUCGCCAAAUUGUCACUGCCCUGCUUCAAUAGUUCAAUUACAAAGGUCAUUGCUUUACUCUAUUUAAUUGUUUGAUGUGUUAAAGGUUCUUUCUUUGUCUUGAUUUUGAAGUUUGAGUAGACUCUGGUUUUGAUUCAAAACACUUAAUUGAUUAAAUCUUUAUUGUUUUACUCUGUUCCAAGUUUCAUAAGUUAACUAUAGUGUUGGGUUUUUAUUUGAAAUGACAAGGUUAGCUGUGUGGGUAACAGUAAAGGAGAAGAGACAUGGACAAAGGUCUUGCUGGGAGCAGCAAGAUACGGAUCACGCGUCAUCAAAGCGGAUCAAACCUGUCAACAGGUGUACCGAGGCCUUGAUGUUGGAUCAGCCAAGCCAUCAGGUGAAGACUUGUGACACAAGAGAAGACUCGAUUCUGUAGUUUGCUUACUGGUGUCAUCACUCUUUGUUGUCAAACAUUUAGAACCCCAUUGGGGUUCUCCCAUUGGAGGUCAAAAUAUUAAUUACCAUUAACCAAGGUUCUUCAGCUUUCAAAUCACCUUUUUAAUUCUUAAAUUAAUCUGAAGAACCCAUAAGAGGUUCCUAUGGA